rnacentral:misc_RNA from 1 species
UUGAUCUUUUCAUAUUCUUGUUAAGGUGCAUCAUGAUUAUCUACCGUGCACCCCAGGGGGCGCUCAGGCGCGUAUUCGACGCCGAGGAAUCGGAGGGAAAUGGAUGUACACCCACACAGUUAGGAGGGAGAUGGAUGAGGGAGGGGAGAUCGUAGAGACCAGGACGAGUAUAACGCGGCAAAUCUAUGAUCAGCUGCUUUCUCAGGUGGAUAGGAGUUGUAACGUAACGAUAGAAAAGACACGACGAUGUUUCGUCUACAAUGAUCAAAUCUAUCAGCUUGAUAUAUUUCAGGCUCCGCAUCCUGGGUUAAUGCUACUUGAGACCUAUUCUCCUCUUCCUCCUGAGGAAUUGAUCCUACCACCGUUCCUGGACAUCGCUGAGAACGUGUCUGGGAACCCUAAAUAUUCCAUGUACAAUCUCUCAAAGGCUAAAUACAAGGAUACUCGAAUGAAAAUACGUGUUCACAAAAAAAAUACUUGAUUAGUUUUGUUUAAUUUCGGACCCAAAUAAUUCUAAGUAAAUGUUUUUAAAUCUCUCUAGUGAAACAUUAUUAAAUGUUUUCAUUUUAUGUAAAAAUAUGAUCUAAAUGUGCUAAAUAUAAUAUCCUUGUAGAUUUUUGAAUGUAGUGCAUAUCGUUUAAUGGAAUAUAAAAUACUCUUUA